rnacentral:rRNA from 1 species
ACUUGGCCUCAAAUCGAGUAGGACUACCCGCUGAACUUAAGCAUAUCAAUAAGCGGAGGAAAAGAAACUAACAAGGAUUCCCCUAGUAACGGCGAGUGAAGAGGGAAGAGCUCAAAUUUUAAAUCUGGCGUCCUUGGCGUCCGAAUUGUAAUCUAGAGAAGUGUUUUCCGUGACGGACCGUGCACAAGUCUCCUGGAAUGGAGCGUCAUAGAGGGUGAGAAUCCCGUAUAUGGCACGGACUGCCGUUGCUCUGUGAUACACUCUCGACGAGUCGAGUUGUUUGGGAAUGCAGCUCUAAAUGGGUGGUAAAUGCCAUCUAAAGCUAAAUAUUGGCGAGAGACCGAUAGCGAACAAGUACCGUGAGGGAAAGAUGAAAAGCACUUUGGAAAGAGAGUGAAACAGUACGUGAAAUUGUUGAAAGGGAAACGCUUGAAGUCAGUCGCGCCGUUCGGGAUUCAGCCUUGCUUCUGCUCGGUUCACUUCCCGUUGGGUGGGUCAACAUCAGUUUUGGUCAGAGGAGAAAGGCUUGGGGAAGGUGGCAGCAUUCGUGCUGUGUUAUAGCCCCUCGUUGUAUACUUUGACCGGGACUGAGGACCGCAGCACGCCUUUGGCCGGGGUUCGCCCACGUACGUGCUU